rnacentral:lncRNA from 1 species
AUUGGAUCCGAUUUCGGGGGGAGGAGGAUGGUGGCGCAGGGCUGGGUGACGAGAGGGGAGGGGAGGAGCUGGGAGGCGAGCGCUGCCGCUGGACGGGUGGGGGUGGGGGGUGCUGCGGGGAAGGCGGGGGAGCCGGGACGUCCAAGUGUUUCUGAAGGCUGGAAGUUCAAGAUCAAGGCACGGGCAGGUUCAGUGUCUGAUGAGGGCCGGCUUCCUCAUAGACGGCUCUCUUCUCAUGAUCACUCUCUGCCCUUGUCCACUUUGUUCUUGGAAGGACAUCAGUGGGUUCCCUUGCCCUCUGGCUUCUGGUUGGAUUCACCCAAUGGAGAGCCCUGGCAGGAGAUUGGAAGAAGAGAGGAUAGUAAGGCCGACAAGCCCGGCUGGCUGUGGAGUAGAGGGAAACACCUCUUUUAUCAAAAUUGGCUUCAAAAGAUGUCUAUCUCCCGUUUCUGGUGAGUCAUCUGUCCAUUCACAAGUGUUGGAAGUGGGAAGGAGGCCACUGAGAGACUCCCCAAGGAUACGCUAAUUGGAUGAGGAAACUCUGGAACUGAAGGGAACUUUAAUGUCCAUUUCAUUCAUCCCUCUACUUUAAAGCACCAAACGAAGGCCCAUCCAAGGUGAAAAGCAUCCAUUUCUUGGAGAAAUGCCACUGUGAGAUUGCAAGUCCCAGGACCAGGACUUAUGUGUCUCUUUUUCCAGCGAAGUGGCUAAAGGUCUGGAGCUGAAGUUGCAAAUGCCAUAGUGUCCUUGAAUCUCAAGUCUGGACUGAAAAAAGUUCUUAAAGGUCCCCUGGUUCAACCUUCUACUUAACGUGGAAAUCCUUUCUACCACAUCCCUGCAUGGGAAUCACAGGUCUCUGUACCUGUCUAGCAUAGUCCACUUGGGGGGUUAUUCUCCUAAUUAAAACAUCUUUCUCUUACUAAAUGGGAAAUUACCUCCAAUUUCUAUUCACCCCAUAUUUCUUCAGUUCCUACUAUGUGCCAGGCAUGCUGCUAGGCCCAUGAGAUAUA